AUUGGGCACGACGUCGCAUGCUCCCGGCCGCCAUGGCGGCCGCGGGAAUUCGAUUAGAGUUUGAUCAUGGCUCAGGACGAACGCUGGCGGCGUGCUUAACACAUGCAAGUGGUGCGACGAACCGGGGCUUGCCCCGGGGCAAAGCAGCGAACGGGUGAGUAACACGUGGGCAACCUGCCCCGAAGACCGGGACAACCCGAGGAAACUCGGGCUAAUACCGGAUGUGCCCUGCGAGCACCAGCUCGCUGAGCAAAGGAAGCUUCGGCCUCCGCAUUGGGAGGAGCUCGCGGCCCAUUAGCUAGUUGGUGGGGUCAAGGCCUACCAAGGCAACGAUGGGUAGCUGGUCUGAGAGGACGAUCAGCCACACUGGGACUGAGACACGGCCCAGACUCCUACGGGAGGCAGCAGUGGGGAAUCUUGCGCAAUGCGCGAAAGCGUGACGCAGCAACGCCGCGUGGGGGAUGACGGCCUUCGGGUUGUAAACCUCUUUCGACCUCGACGAAGAGUGAUUGACGGUAGGGGUGGAAGAAGCACCGGCCAACUACGUGCCAGCAGCCGCGGUAAUACGAAUCACUAGUGAAUUCGCGGCCGCCUGCAGUCGACCAUAUGGGAGAGCUCCCAA
rnacentral:rRNA from 1 species